GGCUGCAGUGAGCCCAGACCAUGCCACUGCACUCUAGCCUGGGCAACAAGAGCGAAACUCCAUCUCAAAAAAAAAAAAAAAUCUUGGGGACCUCAAGGUAUUUCCUUGUGGGCAAACAGUGAGGGAGGCCCCCUGGGGAGGGGAGUGGCCUUCUGUCUUUGCAUCUGUCGAUUUAGGAAGAAACUAGGAGGUAGUUUUGGGUGACCCAGUUCCCAAGCUUAACUCUUCUUUUUGGCAUAGUGAGUUUGGGGUCCUGAGAUUUUUAUUUUCUUUUUACCUCUUUAAGGUGGAGGAGAAGGAAACUUCUCAGGGAUUAUCCCAGCACAUUAUCUUGUCUUCCUGGGCUUGAGGGGAGUUCAGCCUACACCCAGGAACGAACAAGGACAGCAUGGAGUUUAGAAGCAAGUGGACUUGGUUCAUCUGUUUCACUGGCUCAUAAUUUUGCAAGGGCGGUUUCAUCUGUACCCUGACAAUACCUUCUAGUUUUCUUACCCACUGGUGUUGAGACUUAAUUGAAGACCUCAGACGGACAGAAUACCAUGGAACCUGAGACCUUGAUUUGCGGGGACAGGUUUAAAGUAUAUUCUGGAGUUGGUGCCCCCACCCCAGGGGCCGGCUCAGAGGGCUCACUUUCCAGCCUAAUUUCAGGGGAACCAGAGGCUGCCGACCUGGAUCUCACCUUGACGGAGGUCUUGUCACCUUCCUCCUCGGCUGGAGAGGCAGACUGUGGAUGCUCUCCUGCUGGCUACCCAAAAACAAACAAAUAGACAAACAAAUAUGAAUGAGGAAAACCUGAAGAGGCCCCAUGUGCCGGAGGUGGGACAGCUUGAGAUUUGGUGAGGAUAAUUGCAGUGGCUCAAAACCCAUAAAGAAGUUUCAGUCCAUGAGUUCACCGUAACGUUAAAACAAACAAAAAAACAACAAAUUGAUCAUCUUUGGAGGCUAACAAUCAAUUCAUUAUCUUAGAGACAGACAGAGGCUCACUAGUGGCAUGAUCUUGGCUGACUGCAUCUUCCACCUCCUGGGUUCAAGAGAUUCUUGUGCCUCAGCCUCCUGAGUAGCUAAGAUUACAGGUGUGCACCACCACGCCCAGCUAAUUUUUGUAUUUUUAGUAGAGAUGAGGUUUCACCAUGUUGGCCAGGCUGGUCUCGAACUCCUGACCUCAAGUGAUCUGCCCACCUCGGCCUCCCAAAGUGCUGGGAUUACAGGCGUGAGCUACUGCGGCUGGCCACAUUUCCCUUCUGGUGCGCGUCCUCCUGUAGCUGCGGGAUCAGGGGAGGUAGAGAUGUCUUGUAACUGACUCAAGUUUGGCUGCUCGCCGCAGGAGAAGCGAGAUCACCAGUAAUCAGGCUGAUCCCGCUUGAGCCACAAGCUCCCUGGGACCCAGCAGCAGCUAUGCAUUGGUGCAUGGUGCCCUGCGUCUGAUCAGCUGACUCCUCAGGCAAAAUUUGCACCAUUUUCACCCGAAUUGCAGAUGUCCUCAGUGUCAUUACAAAGUUCCUAAGUCAUGACCAUUCUGUUCCUGUAGAGCCAGGCUGGAGUAAGCUCCCAUUUCUUUAAGCCCUCCUGUCCCCUGCAGGGACUUCCAAGGUUGAGCUGAUGAGCAAUAGUUAUGAGUCAUUGGAGGAGACAUCCCAGAGGCGCCAGCUCCCCCCUGCCCUAAACUGAAAUUAAGACCUGGUGCUCCGGGUGGGGCCCCUGGGAGGGGAUGUGCAACUCAGAGGGGACCUUCUCCACCUCCACCCCAGGAGACCCCAGAGGGACCAUGGCAGAGCUGGAGCCCUCUUUUAAAAGUCAAAUAAAAAUAAGCAAAAGAAGCCAAUCAUCUCUGUGAAAUGUCCAGAACAGGGAACUCUGUAGAGACAGAGAGGAGAUUAUUGGCUGCCGGAGGCUGGGAAUGAGAAGGUAAGGGGCCUGGGGAGGUGACGGUUAAAAGAUUUUUCUUUGUGGUGAUGAAAUUGUCUUACAAUGGACUGUGGUGAUAGUUGUGCAACUUGGUGAAUAUAUAAAGGUUAUUUAAUUGUACACUUUAAAUGGGUGCAUUGUAUGGUGUGUGAAACACAUCUCAAUAAAGCUGUUAUUUAAAAAA